CGUUGAACCGUAGCAGACAAACGACCUUGUUAUUAACUGCCAUGUAGUUUCAUACUUUCGCCGAUCAAAUACAUUCUUGGAAACAAACUGAUAUGCGACUGCAAUCUAGCGUGGAUUUGGGGACUAAGGAACGAGACGAAGAAUACAAAGUUAAAGGAUGCCCUCGAGGAACUCACUUGCUUCCUCGAAAGUAAUAAUACUGCAGCACCUAAGAUCAACAAUGACGACCUAGAGAGAAAUCAGGAGCACGAAAUCGCGCGAAAUCCUGAUACAUAUUUGGCUGAUAAUCUGAAGAAUGGAAAUAACGAAGACGAGGAAAGUUAUUUAAGUGACAUUGCUAAUGAAAAUUAUGAUAAUUUGGGUGAAGAAUAUGAGGAUUCCGAAUUGGAUAGUAAUUCUCAGCCUAAGAUGCAGAUAUUGGAUGGGAAGGUGUGCUACGUGAAACAUUUGUUCGAUCUAAAGUUAGAAGAUCUACCAUGCCCGGAGACCACAAGGGAGGAUCUAAUGGCUUCUGAACAGCCAUCUAGCCGUCACGAAAAUGCACCAGUGGGUUCCUCCGGUUCCAUAUGGUUCUCAUCAUCAACCCAGACUCAUCACCGAGUCGACCGAUUCGUCCUUGCGAGUUCAUUUCUAAUUGUAUUUCCUUUUUCAACGUUGAUAUUCACGUAGAAGGAAGAUAACAACAACAGCAAGUGUUUACGUCAAUACAAUGAUAAUAAGAGUAUCAAGGAGUGGAUGAGAAAAAAAAUUAACGAAAAAUACGACGAUGACGGCAAUGACGACGACGACGACGACGACGAUUAAAACGACGACGACGACAAU